rnacentral:lncRNA from 1 species
CAAGACUCCAGCCUGGGUGACAGAGCAAGAUUCCGUCACCAAAUUAAAAAAAGAAAAAGCAAUAAAGAAAGAUAUCCAACACCAUAAGUCAAACUGCAUAACACCAAAGAGAAUGAAGAAACUUCAAAGCCAUGAGAGAGAGAGAGAGAAUCUACACAUGUGAGAGUGAAAUCUCCACAGCCCAGGCAGAGCCAGAAAACUGAGAAGGAAAUAUUAAGAGUGCUGAAAAAUUAUUGUUCAACCAGUAACUGAAUACAUAGCUAGCAUAUAUUUAAUAAAUAAGGGUAAACUAAAUAACCUUCAGAAGUAAAACACACACACACACACAAAGAGAAAUUUUAUCUACCAACAGGAGCAUCUUAAGUGUACACUUCAAGAAGAUAGAAAAGUUGUCUUAUAUAAAACUUAAGGGAUCAAAAUUAAAUAUAAGAAACUUGUGGACACAGGGGACUAUGACGGUGGACUUUAAAGAAACCACCAAGUUCUUGGCAGCAUAGUUUUCAAAAGUAUUUAGAUGAAAUAAAAGUGUAAUAAAAUAAUAUAUAAAAUCACCUGCUUCUUGAAUUAUUUGAUGUCCAAAUCUGUUUUUCAGAUAAUUAUUUUCAUAAUUUAUUAUCAUCUAUGAUAUUUAUAUAACACAUUAUGCAAAAUUUUGAUUAUUCUAUUAUCAGAACUAAUUAGCAUAAAAGGGCUAACAGAUAGAAAUUGCCCAUAAGCAUCUGGACACCCAUGAUGAAUGAGUCAUAAGCCCAUAACAGGGUUGAGGAGGAUGAGAUGAUGAGGCCCACCCAAUACAUGAGCACAAAGCAACUCACCAGCAUCGGAAUGGUCUAGGUGGCCCUUUUCUCUGGGGAGGCUUUUGCAGACAGGUUGGUGCUGGGAAGGUACUGGGGUUGUCUCUGAUGCCUGGACAAAAGAAUUACCAUGUAUGCCCUUGAGAGCAACAUGACUGCUACAAAGAAGACAUCUGCAAGUAGUGGCAGCAUGAAAGACAGACUCCUGAUGAUGUAGCUUAUGUAAGAAAGUGAACAGUAUUUACUGAUACUUGGCACAUUGCUGUCGGUCACAUUAGAAGAGGCCACAGUGGAGGAAGGCAGGUUACUACUGAGAAAGAAACUGAGAACCCCAAGAAGUGAAAGAUGCAAUGUGUGAAUUUCUGUUUAAUUCUUGCCAACCAGGAGGUGCCGGGGGUAAUGGUGACAGCCUGGAGCACACUCCGGAGGCAGGUGGUGCAGAUGGAGAGCCCUCAUCCCUCUAUGCAUGUAGAAGAAUACCUUACACUUGAAGUCAUUCUGAAAAUACUGUGACUCAAAGAGGUCCAGAGAUGCCAAGAAGCUCACAGUGAGGAGCAUCACUAAGUGGACAAGGGCCAGGUGACAGGUGAUGAGAUUUCUAUGAAGAAACAGAUACCCUGCAAACCUGUUGGAAGGAACCAUAUUAGGUUUUCUUGGCCACUACCUGUGCUGCUAAGUUGAAGGGCAAUGUCUUUUAGGAUAUUUGGUCACCCCUCUAUUUAUACACAGCUCCGAAGAAACCCAGCACUGGACAAAUUCUCUCAAACUUUUCCCCAAGCUUGGCCACCAAUCUGUUUUAGAUGAAGACUCCAUUUGGAGGAAAUCUGCUAAUUAUCUGCCUGGCUUUCAGGAAAACAGCUUUAUGCAUUUUACUGGAAAAAUGCUUUUGCCUUGGUAGCAUUCCCAAAACCAAGUCCUGCGACUCUGUCUGAAAUCAUGCUAAAACAGAACAGAACUCAGAAUCUUACUACGCUCACUCUGCAAAAUAAAAGCAGUACCUGAGAA